GCUCUGCAGCUCUGAGCAGGUCCUCACAUGGACUGAGGGGAGGGCUGAAGGUGGAGUCACAGGAGAACAGGAAGCUUCUGAUGGAAAAGAUGAAGACGUGCUCCAUACUCCAAAUUAAAUUUAAAUUAAAUUAAAUUAGAACAAAAUCAGGUGUAAGUUUAACAAGUUUACUGCACAAAGAAGAAAUGAGCUGAUCUGAGCUCUGUGGAGGAGCUGCUGCUUAAAGAUGGCCGACACUGUUCCCUCCUGCAGAGCGUCAGACAAUCUGCUGUUUUAAACUCAUGUUUCAAGACUUGUUCUCAGGCUGUGAACACAGGUUGGCACAGGUGAACACAGGUGGAUACAGGUGAACACAGGUGAAUACAGGUGAAUACAGGUGAACACAGGUGAACACAGGUGAACACAGGUGAAUACAGGUGGAUACAGGUGAAUACAGGUGGAUACAGGUGAAUACAGGUGGAUACAGGUGAACACAGGUUGGCACAGGUGAAUACAGGUGGAUACAGGUGAAUACAGGUGGAUACAGGUGAACACAGGUGAAUACAGGUGAACACAGGUGAAUACAGGUGAACACAGGUGAAAACAGGUGAACACAGGUGAAUACAGGUGGAUACAGGUAAACACAGGUGGAAUACAGGUGAACACAGGUGAAUACAGGUGGAUACAGGUAAACACAGGUGGAUACAGGUGAACACAGGUGAAUACAGGUGUAGUAAAAACAGCAGGAAUAGUUCCUGUAGUCUGUCAGCAGGUGGAGCUGCAGCACCACAGUCACAGACUGAUGCUGCAACCAUCAGAGUUUAAUAAAGGCAACAUACAGUUUGUUUACAUCUCCCAGAGCAUCAUGGGAGCUGUAGUCCUGAGAGACUGGAGCAGGACUCACACUAACAGAAGACUGACUGACUGACCCUGUUACUCUGAUUUUAGACCAAACCCAGUGCAGUGGACUUUUAGUUCCAGUCUGGAUCUAUGACAGCUGAUGAUCAGCUGAUGAUCAGCUGAUGAUCAGUUCAUGUGGUUUAAACUUGAUGUUCCUCUCAGUGAACAGAAACGUUUGAAAUGUUGAACGUCAGAGCACAGACGCUCUGAACGCUCUGAAUCACUGUGACCAGCAGGUGGCAGCAGUGUCCCUCUGACACCUGGCGGCUGUUACCAUGGAAACACCCCUCCUCAGAUACCAGCACUGAUGCAGCAGAACAGAUCAGUGUGUGUGUGUGUGUGUGUGUGUUUCUGGAGGUGGCAGUUUCUUCCAUUUUAGGCUCUGCUGGGAUGGAGGCGGGGUUGUCAUGGUAACCAGGCUGUUUGUAGCAGCGUGCUAUUUAUAGCUUCAGUCCUGAACUCUGUGCUGAUACUCCUGUGUGUGUGUGUGUGUGUGUGUGUGUGUGUGUGUGUGUGUC